ensembl:lncRNA
CUAGCAGCAAUCGUGAAGAUCUCCAGCGAGAGGGCAGUCGGCCAGGCUUGGUCACCCAGGGAGCAUCUACUCAAUGUGGGACACACACGCAUUCGUGAAAGUUAUCUUGAUUGCACGAGCUGCCACCAGCCUGCUUGAGCUCUAACUACAACUGGAGCAGAGGACAUGUCAACAAGCAUGGAAGGACUUUGAGUAUUCCCAGAAAACUAAAAGUGCAGAGAAAGCGUGGAUGUUGAUCAAUAUAAAACAGGACAGGUUUCCAUCGACGUGCUCGAUGCACAAGCAUCAUCAUUCUCCCGAGUGACCAGCAGAUGUCACUAUUAUCUCUGUGUUAAAUCUCACUGGACUGCCGCUGCUGACAUGUCUGGCUCACACUGAUAGCAUUUGUCAAAUUUGUUUCAUAUCAUUACACUUUUGUAUUCAACACACCCCCUUGAAGUGAACUAUUGUCAAAAUGAUAAAUCUUUUUAAUGAGUUCAAAGCAGCCGAUGAUUUUGGCAAGUCUGAAAACAACCCUAAUGAAGUCAUAAGGAAUUUGUUGAAGGUCUAAACGUGAUAAAUGUGAUAAAUAUGUGACUUCUGGCUUGUUUUUGAAUUUUUCUUCUCAAACUGCCUUAACUAUACUGGCAUACGGAUGUAUUGUCCUGGACUAAGAUUAUGCAAAUGGGCGACAAGUAAUCAAAGUUCAAACUGAAUUGUUUAAGAGUUCAUUGAACUGGAACAAAUAAAUGUGGAGGAAAUUACUUCAGUUCGUCAUCGCUGUGGCAAAUUAGGCAAGGACCGGAUAAAUGGAUUAGCAGAAAUGUGUGUGCUCAUCGGGUAUGUGUUGGAGGAAUAAUACAUGUAUGUGAAUGUGUCAUGCAGUUGUGCGUG